GGAAGGGUACAGCUCAGUGGUAGAGUGUGUGCCUCACAUGCAUAAGGUCCUGGGUUCGAUCCCCAGUACCUCCU
rnacentral:tRNA from 1 species